CUUCUUCUGCUAAUAUCGUGUUUGGUGAGCAUUGAUUCAGAGCAUGCGUCUUUGGACUUUUGUCUGACGGACUUGUGUCCGCAGAAAACUUUAAGCUUGCCAUCCAACAUUUGUCCGUGGAAAAUCCGUCAACAAUUGUCCAAUGGCGCAUACAAACGGUUGGAUUUUUGGCCAACAAGCUGUCAACACACAAUCCCCGUCAGAAAAUCCGAUCAUGUGUACGAGGCUUCAGAAUGAAGUCCCAGCAGCAUCGCCCGGUCACCGCUCAGGGGGAUGACUUGUUUCUCCCGGCACUACUUUGGGUUUGCGGGCUUCGGCGAUGUGAGUGGUCGGAGCUGUGAUGACGUCACUCCUGCGCAUGCUCGCGGGAGCCCUCUGUUCUGGCAAGAAGCUCUGAAGUUCCGGGACGAUACGCCAGACGUUCAGAGCAACCGUGCCAUUGAUGUCAGCGGCUGCAUGCAGGGUGAAUAUUCCUCAUUUACAAUCUUCUAGAUGGUAAGCUCUAACGAGCAGGGCCCUCUGAUCCCUCCUGUAUUGUAACUGUACUGUCUUCCCUGAUGUAAAGCGCUGCGCGAACUGUUGGCGCUCUAUAAAUCCUGUAUAAUAAUAAUUUAAUGGGGCUUUGAUGCAAGGUUUUCCCUACUGGUGAAAAUUGGUAUUACAUCUUUAGUCAGCUGACUGAUCACAAUACUUUGAUAUCCUACCAGGGUGGGGUUUGGUCUGCCGAGGGAAAUAGUGCAUUCAGGAGUCCGGUAAUUUUUUUACUAGAGGAUUACUAUUGUGAGGGCUCCAAAAUAUAUACAAAAAAGUGAACCAUGUCAAAUCCCCUUCAGUGUUGAAGUUUUCCAGCAACCUUUUUUUUUUCUUCGCCAGAAAAUGCCGUUCUUUAAGAAAAUGAAUUCCUGCUGAAUCUUGUUUUGUAAAUAAUAAUUUAAAAGAUUUCUAAUAUUUUUCCUGAAGCUAGGUUGUGCAAAGAUGUUUGCUGUGUCAACAAUCUGAUCUUGUAACAGGUGUAAAAUGUUUCCUUUUAUUUUUACACUCUCUAAAUAGAUGUAAUGUAACUUUAUUCUUCCUCCUCUUUUAAAACGUGUCCUGGAAGGACAUGUAGAUGCUGAUUGGUGGCAAAGAUGACACUCCUUGUAGAAGACUUACAGGCGAGGACACCAUAGCUAAAAAUGAUCAUCUCUUUCUAGAGAUUCUGCAAUUAACAAAUCAAUUUCCGUUAUGAAAGUGGCAUUUUAUUAUUUACAUUCUUCAACUCUUUCAUUGGAGAGCAGGGGGCUAUAUGAGGUCUAACGUCUUAUAUGAGGUCUAACGUCUUAUAUGAGACCAGGUUCAGACAAUGUGGUUUUAGAGCAGGUGCUUACAGAACAUAGUGAACCUCUAUGAUGGCAAAUGAUCUGUACAUGUCGGCAGAGCUGGUUUCAGAUCUAUGCUCAGGCUGCAUACAGCCUUCAGGGCUCUCAUGAAAGUUAUUGAAUGGAUGUUUGUAAAUCACGGGUACAGGGGAAGAGUUGGUACUUUCUGAUGAGCCUCUAUCCCUUACAGCUGAAUCACUGCUGUACUCCUAAUAUCAGACAUUUUUCAGAUCGAUAUGUUACUUUCACCAAGGUGUUGAGGAGAUUUGUGUAUAUUUGUAAUUUAUAAGAUUGUAAGUAUGAGGAAAAACAAAUAUUUUAACAGGAAGAGCGGUAAGCCUGUGUUCUGUGUUGCUCUUCUGUAAGAUAUGUACAUUAUGGGGAAAUUCUCAGUGCAUGCUGGGUAAUAUUUCCCAGGCUGCACUGCCCUGUGGAGAGCAUGUCUCAUAUUCACUUUGUUGGUUGGUUUUUGGGAACAUGUCUCUGUUAUCGUUCUCUUACCACUCAUGUUUUGUCAUUAAACUGUUGGAGUGAUUGUCUAUUUA